rnacentral:rRNA from 1 species
UACGUAGGUGGCAAGCGUUGUCCGGAUUUACUGGGCGUAAAGAGCGCGCAGGCGGUCGUUCAAGUCGCGUGUGAAAGCCCCGGCUCAACUGGGAGGGUCACGCGAUACUGAUCGACUCGAAGGCAGGAGAGGGUAGUGGAAUUCCCGGUGUAGUGGUGAAAUGCGUAGAUAUCGGGAGGAACACCAGUGGCGAAGGCGGCGACCUGGGCCAAUACUGACGCUGAGGUGCGAAAGCGUGGGAG